UGGAAAUAUUUUUAAAGUCAUUUAAUUGUAGAUUGCCAGGACUGUUUCCACUCCUCAUCUUGUCUGAAUUAGCUAAGCUGCAGUCCUUUGAAGACCAUCCGAUACCAGCAGGUAUUUGGUCCCACACACCACAGAGGAGUGACUGGUUUAGACAUAUUCCUGACUGUCCCUUAGGAGUCACUGGAAACGAGCAGCCAAUUGAGACACUAGUAAAGUGAUGCAUUUAGUGACCUGAAUUCUUUUGUGAAUGAACAGGGAGACGACCAGCUCCUACUUACCUCCACACACUUCUGGUUUCACAAUGUCUUUGGGGGUUUCAUCACUGCCUAGCAGAGAAUGUUAAUGCUGUCAUUCAUGCUGAAUGUAAAGACUUGGAAGAGAUAUUUGAAGAGAUGCAAACAAGAAGGAGCAGACUAUUAUGAAGCGCUGCUGACAGGAAGCCAUUGGCACUGGAGAUGGUGAGGCUGAAUGGAUCAGACAGCUAGUAUUUGAGAGAGAACAUCGCAUUAAACUGUGAAAAUAAACAGCUGCGGAUCAGCAGCACGGAGUGACUCAGGCUAUGGAACAAUCCUGACUCAAACCUGUUGAGGAUCCUGGCCCAGCAUUUCCUUUUGAGUAGUAAUCCGAGUUAGAAAUGUGUCAGUAAUCCCCCCCACCGCUGCCUGGCAGCUGGAGGAACAGUGGACCAAGCCCCAGGCUACCAGCGGGAGCAGAUGGAUUACACUUGGAUGCUGCUCGCCACAGACUCCGGCCGGCUGAAGCCAAGCCCCACGCCCUGGACCUCCUUGCUCGGAGUCUGCAGCUGCACGGAUGCCAUCCACAAGGAACGGCAGCCUCAGACACCGGUAUUCCUAAAGGGAAGAGAAAGGAAAAAAGAGGAAUAAAAUCACAGGAGGUGUUGUUGCAGUUUAAUCUGUGCUGUCACAGAUGAGUGGAAUUAGUACUGAAAGAUCCUGCAGUGAGAAGCCUUUGAAGCUCGCUUCUCAGAGGUAAGAAAGAUUCCUGCCUCCCCAGUUGCUGACUUUAUUAGCCAUGGAUUGGUCUGUUCUGCAAAGCUUCACCUCAGCACCGCUGCAUGCCUGAAACAGGUCUCAAACUUGCAGAUUAUUUUGUCACAGAUUAAAAACUGAAGUCUAUAAUCGUGAAGUGCUGUUGCCAUGACAGAUAAAAUGAGCUGGCACAAAGGAAAGAAGGAACUCACAGAAGAAAGCACAGGAGAUGGGAAGCACAGCCGAAAAAAGCGAGAGCGACUAUUCAGGAGGAGAUUUUCUGGACUGAGCCUCUUCUCUGGGUCUCCUAAGAAGAAACUCCCUCAGGGAAGAAGUCAGCUUCUUGAAGACAAGAGAAGAUGCUUACACAGGAAAGGUUCCAAAAAGCUGAAGGCAGCGAGGGAAGAAAUAUGUACUUUAAGGCAGCCUCACUCUGGGAAAAUGUGUCCAAAAUGUGAAAUCCUCGUCUGCCCAAAGUGCGAAACUCUGCACUCAGAACGGAGCUUCAUUGCCCACAGCCUGCUUGAUCACUAUGACACAGGAGACGCUGUCUGCAGAAAGUCAAGUACGUAGAGGUGAUUAUAAAGAUUUGCUGUGGAUGCCCUGGGUACCUGACUACAUCCAAAAUGCUGAAGCUUGGGUCCAUUCAGGGUGACUGGAUCAUUGU